rnacentral:pre_miRNA from 1 species
AUGGAGGAUCUAUAAAGCUCAGGAGGGAUAGCGCCAUGGAUUUAUAACUUAUCUGUAUAUAGAUUAGUGGCGCUAUCCAUCCUGAGCCUCAUGGCUCCUCCUU